UACGAAGGGGGCUAGCGUUGUUCGGAAUUACUGGGCGUAAAGCGCGCGCAGGCGGUCCUUCAAGUCAGAGGUGAAAGCCCAGAGCUCAACUCUGGAAUGGCCUUUGAGACUAGAGGACUUGGGUAAGGGAGAGGUGAGUGGAAUUCCGAGUGUAGAGGUGAAAUUCGUAGAUAUUCGGAAGAACACCAGUGGCGAAGGCGGCUCACUGGCCCGUUACCGACGCUCAGGGGCGAAAGCGUGGGGAGCAAACCGG
rnacentral:rRNA from 1 species